AUUGAACGCUGGCGGCAGGCUUAACACAUGCAAGUCGAGCGGGGGAAGGUAGCUUGCUACUGGACCUAGCGGCGGACGGGUGAGUAAUGCUUAGGAAUCUGCCUAUUAGUGGGGGACAACAUCUCGAAAGGGAUGCUAAUACCGCAUACGUCCUACGGGAGAAAGCAGGGGAUCUUCGGACCUUGCGCUAAUAGAUGAGCCUAAGUCGGAUUAGCUAGUUGGUGGGGUAAAGGCCUACCAAGGCGACGAUCUGUAGCGGGUCUGAGAGGAUGAUCCGCCACACUGGGAGUGAGACACGGCCCAGGGUCCUACGGGAGGCAGCAGUGGGGAAUAUUGGACAAUGGGGGGAACCCUGAUCCAGCCAUGCCGCGUGUGUGAAGAAGGCCUUAUGGUUGUAAAGCACUUUAAGCGAGGAGGAGGCUACUCUAGUUAAUACCUAGGGAUAGUGGACGUUACUCGCAGAAUAAGCACCGGCUAACUACGUGCCAGCCGCCGCGGUAA
rnacentral:rRNA from 1 species